GAGACAUCAUUGGACCGUUCGAAGAACGACGCCGCGACCAUCAGAAGCUGUGUAAAUUGACAGAGGUUGCAGACAAAACGUUUAUGGUAUUUGUUAUAUCUGUUCUCUUGACGCACAUUCCCCUCUCUUGCCUAUUCUUCUACAACAUGAUCUACAACGAGAUACACUUUGCGAUGUAUAUGGGCUACACGUUCUGGAUUUUGGUUACUUUUAUCAAUAUGGGAAUUGUGUGCAUCGCUGGGGCUUUUGUCAACAAUGCUGCACAUGCUCCUUUAACUGAUCUUCACAGCAUCAGGGCAGAUGUAGCAAGUACUAGCAAGAACUUGGAGAUUCACAUGUUUCUUAGUCGCCUAACAGGAACAUCUAUCGGCUUAACAGCAAUGGACAUGUUCGUAAUGGAUAAGCCAACAACCCUUACGGUACUUGGGCUGCUGAUUACGUAUUUUUUCCUGUUGCUCCAAUUCCAUCCAAUGGCAACUGCUCCAGGCGGCUUGUGUUUGGCAAAUUUAACAGAUAUGACUUUGAAACUUAUUGGAGGGUAGCUAUGAAAACCUAAAUCUAGUGCAAAAUGUUUUAUUUCAAACUCAUUUGGGAGUCACUAUGGUAUCUAUACUCCAUGAGAUGAGCUGCAUUAUAUUGAUAUACGACAAGGUCUGUUUAAAACAUGAUAUCUGCUGGUCUGUGUUUGAGGAAGACAGAGAUUUUUUUUUUUUUUUUUUUUUUUGAGGAAGACAGAGAUGGAAUUAUUGUAAUAAUCAAAUAUGACAUCAAUGUACAAUGAAGAGUAACUAUGACAACCGUGGGACAGUAAAGUUAUUUGUUAACAUUAACAACAUGCAAUAUGAUCCCUAGAGGACCAGAGGCUAAAAAUAAUCACUAUAAACAAACGUAGCUUUUUUGAAAAGAAGUGAAAUCAAACCAUUAAAAAGGGUAAUAUGUACAAGUUGUCUUGAAAAGGGUAAACGAGAAGUGGAUUGGAUGAAUAAAACCUAAUUGAAAAAGUAAUUAUUUUUCAAACGCCAUAGGCUUGAUACAACCAAAUAGUGUAUUGUUAAUUUGUUACAAAGUUGAUACAAUUGAUGCUUUAAUAAUUGUAUUUGACAAAAUGCUAACAAAAAUAUUUCCAAUUACUAUUAUCGA
rnacentral:misc_RNA from 1 species